CGGCAGGCUUAACACAUGCAAGUCGAGCGGAGUGAUGGUGCUUGCACUAUCACUUAGCGGCGGACGGGUGAGUAAUGCUUAGGAAUUGCCAUUUAGUGGGGGACAACAUUCCGAAAGGAAUGCUAAUACCGCAUACGUCUACGGGAGAAAGCAGGGGAUCUUCGGACCUUGCGCUAAAUGAUGAGCCUAAGUCGGAUUAGCUAGUUGGUGGGGUAAAGGCCUACCAAGGCGACGAUCUGUAGCGGGUCUGAGAGGAUGAUCCGCCACACUGGGACUGAGACACGGCCCAGACUCCUACGGGAGGCAGCAGUGGGGAAUAUUGGACAAUGGGCGGAAGCCUGAUCCAGCCAUGCCGCGUGUGUGAAGAAGGCCUUUUGGUUGUAAAGCACUUUAAGCGAGGAGGAGGCUACCUGGAUUAAUACUUUAGGAUAGUGGACGUUACUCGCAGAAUAAGCACCGGCUAACUCUGUGCCAGCAGCCGCGGUAAUACAGAGGGUGCGAGCGUUAAUCGGAUUUACUGGGCGUAAAGCGUGCGUAGGCGGCUUUUUAAGUCGGAUGUGAAAUCCCCGAGCUUAACUUGGGAAUUGCAUUCGAUACUGGGAAGCUAGAGUAUGGGAGAGGAUGGUAGAAUUCCAGGUGUAGCGGUGAAAUGCGUAGAGAUCUGGAGGAAUACCGAUGGCGAAGGCAGCCAUUUGGCCUAAUACUGACGCUGAGGUACGAAAGCAUGGGGAGCAAACAGGAUUAGAUACCCUGGUAGUCCAUGCCGUAAACGAUGUAUACUAGCCGUUGGGGCCUUUGAGGCUUUAGUGGCGCAGCUAACGCCGAUAAGUAGACUCCGACCCUUUUGGAU
rnacentral:rRNA from 1 species